ensembl:lncRNA
CUUUUGGGUCAACUGCUGUCACCAAAGCAACCAGCUUUGGGACCCCAGUUAAACCUGCAUUUGGAGCCAGCGCCACUGGUUUUGCUUUUGGUGGCACCACUGCUCCCUCAGCUGCACCGAGCUUCGGUGCAGUAACCCAGACUCAGAGUUCCACCUCCUUCACAUUUGGCAGUGCUGCUCCUCAGCAGGCUCCCGCCGGCCCUGCUCAACCAGCACCCAGUGGAUUUAACUUCAGUGCUAGUAUGCCAGGCCCCCAGUUUGGAACCCCAGUCUCCAAUAAUCCUGCACCGCAGAUGGGAAGCUUCAACUUUGGGGCUGCUGCUACUGACAAACCUGCUUUUGGGACGUCUACCCCAUCUUUUGGCCAGAGUGCUGCUGCUGCAGGUCCAAUUCCCUUUGGAAGCCCUGGAACUCCAGUCCAAAGCUUCAACGCUGUUCCUUUUGGGUCUCCAGCGGCACCCUCUUUUCUCUAUUGGAGCCGGGUCAAAGCCAGCUGGAGCUCGCCAGAGGCUGCAGGCGCGGAGGCACAACAUCAGGAAGAAGUAAACUGCUGCAGGCGUCCAGCACCGCUUUCAGAGGACUUCAGCCAUUGUUGCUGUCGCUGCUGUGGUUUAUCCGGCGAACAUCGCUCUGUUAUAAGCCCAACACUCCCAACAAGCAGGCUGACACCAUGCCCUCUGCUUCCUUCCUUUCCCUCCUCCCUCCUCCCAGUGGGGCGUGCUCGUCCGGAAAAAAAACAGGAGUUAGAAAAAGCACACUGGCUUUAUGAGUUAAUGCUGCCUGGAUGAUGACAUAACCCAGUAAGGGAAAGUAGCAGUGAGGAGACAGAAUCCAUAGCAAUGUACUAUACUUGAAGAAAGAAAAGACAAUUCAAUAGUUUGAUUUUGAACAAAAGCAUAUCCAAAGUUCUUUUUUUCCUUUAUAGUAUGUGGACACUCUCUUUGGUUCGUCUUAAGGAGAAAGUUGAGUCAGGCAAAGACAUUUAUUUUUUUACGUGAAGCGCUCACUGGUUUGUAUGUUACAGAAUAUUUUGAGUGCAUUAUCUGAAUGAGUCGGAAUAGGGUGAAACGCACGGUUUGAUUCGGAUAAGGUACACAACCAUGCAGUGUAAAUGUAAAGUUAUGAGACGUUUGAUUUUAAAUUAUUUUUUAAUUGGCUCUCUGACCCUGUAAAUGUGUUUCUGCACUUAAAAGGGCGAUAAAUGUCUUACGGUAGUUGGUGCAAACCCUUUUUUUUCAUACUCUUUGUCAUUGCAAGCAUUCCCAGAGUCCUCAUGGACGGCCUUCUUUUUUUGAUAGUGAUUGCCAACACUGAUGUAAUUAGCAGGUCAAUAUGUGAUUAGGAUGACUACUCUUAACUUGUGCUGACUAAACCAAAGCCAAUUCUUCAACUUUAUGCCUGUGAAAAGAAUCUGAUCUUUAUCUCCUCUUUUAAUCCUGAGACGUUUGUUUGUGCCAGACUACCUCUCUUUACUCCAGGCAUUGAUUCUGUUACUUCACCGAAAAGAAAUCUGACCACAUUGACUUAGAUUUGACCUUUAACUGCUGUUAUUACAGAUGUACCUUUUUUCUUUUAAAUAAAUAUAGUGAGUUUUUAAACAUCUGCAAAUCAACACAUCCACAUCUGGGAUAUCUCUAUUAUAAUGGAUUACACCACAUUAACAUAACUUACAAAAAAAUACAGUGAUUGCAGACAUUCUCAUGAUGAUCCAGGGAUUUUUUGUCAUCUCUAAUGUCGACGAGUUGAAGAAUAUUGUUCAACAAACAUGUCAGUAAAACGCUUUGUCGGCCGUCAGUUAUUUUUAUCAAAAUGAUGUCUAAUCUUAAAAAUUAUACCUCUUGUGAAAAGUGACUGGUAUCUGAUGCAGUUUUUUGAUGGUGAACUUUGAAUGAAUAAAAAAAUAGAUUUUUGGACAUGAAUGUUCCAAUAAGAACACAAAUUCAAACUUCACAGUCCAUUCUUCUACUUAUCUCCCAUGAUAUGUCACUCGUGUUUACCAACCAUACUACAUACUAAUAUUAGCAGUAUAUUGUUUUUUUAUAGUUGGUAUACAAGAUACCUUCAUAGUUUUACUUGUCUGUACUGUUAACAGGUAAUAGUGCAAUAUGCCCGAUAUACAAAUAAAAUUGAAUUAAGACUUUA